rnacentral:rRNA from 1 species
GACGAACCGUGCAAACGUUGUUCGGAAUCACUGGGCUUAAAGGGCGCGUAGGCGGGUUCGUAAGUCUGUGGUGAAAGCCCCCAGCUUAACUGGGGAAGUGCCAUGGAUACUGCGAGUCUUGAGGAGGGUAGGGGCAUCUGGAACACUGGGUGGAGCGGUGAAAUGCGUUGAUAUCCAGUGGAACUCCGGUGGCGAAGGCGAGGUGCUGGACCCUUUCUGACGCUGAUGCGCGAAAGCCAGGGGAGCAAACGGGG